GUCAUGGCUCAGGACGAACGCUGGCGGCGUGCUUAACACAUGCAAGUCGAACGAGAAUCUACGGAUCGAGGAUUCGUCCAAGUGAAGUAGAGGACAGUGGCGGACGGGUGAGUAACGCGUGAGGAACCUGCCUUUCAGAGGGGGACAACAGUUGGAAACGACUGCUAAUACCGCAUGACACAUUGGGGUCGCAUGGCCCUGAUGUCAAAGAUUUAUCGCUGAAAGAUGGCCUCGCG
rnacentral:rRNA from 1 species